CAUUAUCGUAUAAUUGAGGUACUGGGGCUGUCGCUGACCUUUGAAAAGGUCGUGCACGUCCCGGUGCACUCAUAUAAUCCACCUCACACCUUUUGUGCAUCACCGCGUGGACCCUCUAUUUGGGCUCGUCCCAAAGGGGGUUCACGUUUUUACACACACAACAUGUAAUAGAAUGUCUUGACCAAUUUGCGAUAAUGCGCAAUUAAUACAACUUUCAACAACGGAUCUCUUGGCUCUCGCAUCGAUGAAGAACGCAGCGAAAUGCGAUACGUAAUGUGAAUUGCAGAAUUCAGUGAAUCAUCGAAUCUUUGAACGCAUCUUGCGCCCCUUGGCAUUCCGAGGGGCACACCCGUUUGAGUGUCGUGACAUCCUCAACCUUUCUUUGGUUUCUUAACCAAAGGAAGGCUUGGACUUUGGAGGUUUUCUUUGCUGGCCUCCUUUGAAGUCGGCUCCUCCUAAAUGAAUUAGUAGGGUUCGCUUUGCCAAUCCUUGAUGUGAUAGAAUAUUUUUUACAUCUCGGGUUUUGCACUGUCACUUUUGGAUCCUGCUCCUAAUCGUCUUGCAAAAGACAAUGUUUAUAAACCUUGACCUCAAAUCGGGUGAGACUACCCGCUGAACUUAAGCAUAUCAAUAAGCGGAGGAAAAGAAACUAACAAGGAUUCCCCUAGUAACUGCGAGUGAAGCGGGAAAAGCUCAAAUUUAAAAUCUGGUGGUCUUUGACC
rnacentral:rRNA from 1 species